rnacentral:rRNA from 1 species
GAUGGACGCUGGCGGCGUGCCUAAUACAUGCAAGUCGAGCGAACGGACGAGAAGCUUGCUUCUCUGAUGUUAGCGGCGGACGGGUGAGUAACACGUGGAUAACCUACCUAUAAGACUGGGAUAACUUCGGGAAACCGGAGCUAAUACCGGAUAAUAUUUUGAACCUCAUGGUUCAAAAGUGAAAGACGGUCUUGCUGUCACUUAUAGAUGGAUCCGCGCUGCAUUAGCUAGUUGGUAAGGUAACGGCUUACCAAGGCAACGAUGCAUAGCCGACCUGAGAGGGUGAUCGGCCACACUGGAACUGAGACACGGUCCAGACUCCUACGGGAGGCAGCAGUAGGGAAUCUUCCGCAAUGGGCGAAAGCCUGACGGAGCAACGCCGCGUGAGUGAUGAAGGUCUUCGGAUCGUAAAACUCUGUUAUUAGGGAAGAACAUAUGUGUAAGUAACUGUGCACAUCUUGACGGUACCUAAUCAGAAAGCCACGGCUAACUACGUG